rnacentral:rRNA from 1 species
AAAUUGAAGAGUUUGAUCAUGGCUCAGAUUGAACGCUGGCGGCAGGCCUAACACAUGCAAGUCGAACGGUAACAGGAAGCAGCUUGCUGCUUYGCUGACGAGUGGCGGACGGGUGAGUAAUGUCUGGGAAACUGCCUGAUGGAGGGGGAUAACUACUGGAAACGGUAGCUAAUACCGCAUAACGUCGCAAGACCAAAGAGGGGGACCUUCGGGCCUCUUGCCAUCGGAUGUGCCCAGAUGGGAUUAGCUWGUWGGUGGGGUAACGGCUCACCWAGGCGACGAUCCCUAGCUGGUCUGAGAGGAUGACCAGCCACACUGGAACUGAGACACGGUCCAGACUCCUACGGGAGGCAGCAGUGGGGAAUAUUGCACAAUGGGCGCAAGCCUGAUGCAGCCAUGCCGCGUGUAUGAAGAAGGCCUUCGGGUUGUAAAGUACUUUCAGCGGGGAGGAAGGGAGUAAAGUUAAUACCUUUGCUCAUUGACGUUACCCGCAGAAGAAGCACCGGCUAACUCCGUGCCAGC